rnacentral:rRNA from 1 species
CGAGCGGCGAACGGGUGAGUAACACGUGAGCAAUCUGCCCUUCACACUGGGAUAACCCCCGGAAACGGGUGCUAAUACCGGAUACGACCACUUCAGACAUCUGAUGGUGGUGGAAAGCUCCGGCGGUGGAGGAUGAGCUCGCGGCCUAUCAGCUUGUUGGUGAGGUAACGGCUCACCAAGGCUUCGACGGGUAGCCGGCCUGAGAGGGUGACCGGCCACACUGGGACUGAGACACGGCCCAG